rnacentral:misc_RNA from 1 species
GAUGAAGAACGUAGCGAAAUGCGAUAAGUAAUGUGAAUUGCAGAAUUCAGUGAAUCAUCGAAUCUUUGAACGCACAUUGCGCCCGCCAGUAUUCUGGCGGGCAUGCCUGUCUGAGCGUCAUUUCAACCCUCAUGCCCCUAGGGCGUGGUGUUGGGGAUCGGCCAAAGCCCGCGAGGGACGGCCGGCCCCUAAAUCUAGUGGCGGACCCGUCGUGGCCUCCUCUGCGAAGUAGUGAUAUUCCGCAUCGGAGAGCGAUGAGCCCCUGCCGUUAAACCCCUAACUUUCCAAGGUUGACCUCAGAUCAGGUAGGAAUACCCGCUGAACUUAAGCAUAUCAAUAAGCGGAGGA